GCCCCGCCAGCAGCCCAGCAGCCAGACCCUCGAUGACUCGAAUCGCCUACACCAACACGAUUCCUUCGAGAAGAAGAGGCGGGGAGGGAGAACUGCGAAGAGUCGACGACGGCGACCGACAUGGAGGAGAGGGUACCGCUUCUGCCGCAGCGAGUGGCGCGGGACGGCGACGGCCGAGAGGAGACGUGGGGCGGCGUGAGGUGGUGGAGGGACCUGGCGCGGGAGGCCGGUAAGGUCGGGUACGUGGCCCUGCCGAUGGCGGCCGUGAGCGCAUCGCAGUACGCGGUGCAGGUGGCGUCCAGCAUGAUGGUUGGCCACCUCCCCGGCGUCCUCCCGCUCUCCGCCUCCGCCAUCGCCACCUCCCUCGCUAGCGUCUCCGGCUUCAGCCUCCUCAUUGGAAUGGCAUGUGGAUUGGAGACUCUAUGCGGCCAAGCUUAUGGGGCAAAACAGUACGACAAAUUGGGACUGCAAACCUACAGAGCUAUAGUCACACUCAUAACUGUGAGCAUUCCAAUCGCACUUCUGUGGGUAUUCAUGGGCAAACUCCUGAUUCUCAUAGGUCAAGACCCUUUGAUCUCGAAGGGAGCUGGUAGAUACAUAAUCUGGUUGAUUCCAGGGCUCUUUGCAUAUGCAAUCAGCCAACCUCUCACAAAGUUUCUGCAGUCUCAGAGUCUAAUAAUUCCUAUGCUUUGGUCCUCCAUGGCGACACUGCUCUUGCACAUCCCUCUUUGUUGGUUAUUGGUGUUCAAGACCAGUUUGGGGUAUAUUGGAGCUUCUUUGGCGAUAAGCUUAUCAUAUUGGUUGAAUGUGAUCAUGCUUUCUGUGUACAUCGGAUACUCGAAUUCUUGUAAGGAGACCCGCUCGCCUCCUACAAUUGAGGCCUUCAGAGGAGUUGGCUUGUUUCUACGCCUAGCUCUAUCAUCUGCACUAAUGUUGUGUUUUGAAUGGUGGUCCUUUGAGGUCCUUAUUCUUGUCUCAGGACUUUUACCCAAUCCAGCGUUGCAAACUUCAGUUCUUUCAAUAUGCCUGACGACUAUCACGUUAAUGUAUACUAUACCUUAUGGGCUUGAAGCGGCUGCAAGCACUCGAGUAGCAAAUGAAUUAGGUGGUGGUAACCCCGAAGGAGCUCGAUCAGCUGUUCAGGUUGUCAUGUGUAUUGCAGUGAUGGAGGCAGCUCUCGUCACAAGUGUACUCUUAGCAUCACAGCACAUCUUGGGAUAUGCAUAUAGCAGUGAUAAGGAGGUUGUCGCGUAUGUCAAUGCAAUGGUUCCCUUUGUGUGCGUCUCUGUUGCUGCUGAUAGCCUACAAGGAGUUCUAUCAGGUCACAUUUCUUAACUCUAGUUUAUCUGUUAAUCUGCCUAUCCCUACAAAAUAGAGAAGAAAAGACCUUUUUCAUCUUUUGAAACCUCGAAAACGCAUCUUUUAAUUAUGCAUGUGAAGUUUCUUUUCGAGAACGCAUUGCGCCUGUGAAGUUAUCAAACAUUUUUUUUGAGGAAUCGUUAUCAAACAGAUUGAACUGUGCUAAAUUUGUUGCCAGUGCCUUUUACCUCUUAAUUUGAUCUGCAUAAUUCAAUCUGUGUGCUCUUCUCAAUUUUGGUAACAAGCCCUGUCAGGUGGCAAGUGACCAUUACUGUUUUGUCAGUCAUGGCAAUGUCGUAAGGACAUACCAGGUAACACGCCGCUUCUUGUUUCUCCUUUCUUCCACGAUACUAAUGCUAUGUUGUGUUGUGUGUUACUCGGGGAGUUACUUGUUUGUUCCUUCAAAAAUGUGCUCUUACGUGAACAUGGAUGGGAUGCCGGUGUUUUCAUCAACACGCAUCUAGCAGAGAUGUUACCGUAAGCAGGCCCCAGAUCACUAAGUAUUGCCCGAGGAUGCGGGUGGCAGCACUUGGGCGCCUAUGUCAACCUCGGUUCUUUCUAUCUGGUAGGGAUUCCAGUGGCACUCUUCCUCGGCUUUGUUCUGAAGAUGGAAGGAAAAGGGCUGUGGAUGGGCAUUUCCU